GACACUUCUUAGCCUUUUCAUUAAGAUCAAGUAUAGUAUCUAUUCUUAUCACUUUAAUAUCUGAUUUGUCAUCUACAGGAGGACCACAUAUUACGUUGUACGUUGAGAAAAAGCAGAUGGAAGAACACCUUGCAGUGUAACGUAGCGUCCACCAUGUCUUACAAUCUGCCCAAGACAUGGUGGACGCUAA